CGGACCCUUCACCGCGACCUCCUCCUACCAUGCGGCUUCCUCACGGACAGUGAGGUUAACUUGGAAUCACCAGAGCAAUCACUUCCUCACAGACCAAGAACUCGGCAGCAGAGCCCGGAUUUAAAUUCCUUCCCAGAACCUCUGGUUGAGGAUGAGGAUACAGGAAGCUUGGUUUCAUUAUAUGUUAAUCCUCCAACGUUGCACUUCACUGUGGAAAAACAGAAUCAUUUUCCAGAUUCAUCUGAUGGUGGGAGCCUAGAACCACUGAUUUUGGAUCCCUCAGUUGAAGUGGAAGUGCAAGGAGAAUCAGCCUCUGUGUCCAGUGUUCUUCCUCCUGCAGUAGAGUCUGGCGGUGAGCAAUCUGGCUCUGAUGUGGAAGACAUCCUACUUGAACUUGUUGAGAGUCACUCUGAAAACAGAAAUAGUUUACCUGAAAACUUACCUGGAAAUGGAGACAUACUUGUCAACAUUCCUGUCGUUGCUGUUGAGGAUUCUCCUGAAGAGUCCAGUGUUAUUGAGCAGGACACUGACAUAGGUGACGGGUUAAGACGUUCACAACGACAAAGAGCACCGCCUGACCGACUUCACUAUUUCACUCGUGGCAAUCCUUUGAUUUCCGUUGUCCAAACGAUGUUGCAUAGUCUUUCCAAUGCAUUGGGCCAUAAUGCUAGCCGUCCUUCGUCUGUUCACGUUGUCUAGCGUUUAACAUGCGACGGGACGUGCAUGGGUUAAGGCGGGGAGGAUGUAACCCAUAUAAAAAUCUGAAUCGAAAUCUUAAAUUCCAAUCGGAGCGUGUCCGUGAAGGCAUCGCGAUGCGUCAUGACGCACGCCACGCCGCGAGUCUGCACGUGCCUGUUGUGACCAAUCACAUUCGGGUGGCACUAAUAUAUGCCUUCCGGGUUGUCGCCUCGAAAAGAUGCGGGGGAGAGGCGGUAGCGGAUGGAAGCAACAGUACUUUGAUAUCGCCGCGGGUAGAUGCGUGGGGGCUCGUAUGUGACAUCGCACGUAGUGAAUGUGCAGGCUAGUGGUGCCUUGGGGAGACCACAGCGACACCACUACUUUGGAUGGCGAGCUAGGCCCAACGAGCCAGAACCCCAGCUACAACUUCCUGCGGUCUGGUAGGAGGCUGCUGUGGCCUACACUCUCCCCCCCUGGUUUUCAGUCCUCUGAAUCUCACUUCUGGGAUCUCAGUCUUGGGAUCUCAGUUCUGAUCAUCACACUUCCAAGUUCAAUCUGUUACAGACUGUCAUGCGCAUUGGAUUUAUAUCAAUCAUGAAAUAGCAAUUUUAUGGACAUUGUCUGCCGGGGGUUGGAGGAGGUUGCUGCACCAUUGUGCAGCUGAUAUUUUACAAGCUUGAAUUAUGUUUUAUCUUGUCCUGUCUGCAGAUUCUGUAAAUAUUGGUAUUUGGUAAUUGCACUUUAUUUUCACUGUAAAUAACAACCGUAAUCACAAUA